ACGAGGAAAAGGUACUAAGGGCACACGGUGGAUGCCUUGGCGCCAACAGCCGAUGAAGGACGCAGCAAGCUGCGAAAAGCUCCGGGGAGAAGCAAGCAUUCCGUGAUCCGGAGGUUUCCGAAUGGGGCAACCCGGCUGGAGCAGUCCAGUCACCCGCGGAAGCGGGAGGAACCGGGUGAAGUGAAACAUCUCAGUAACCCGAGGAAAAGAAAUCGAAGAGAUUCCCUGAGUAGUGGUGAGCGAAAGGGGAUUAGCCUAAACCGUAUCCGUGUCAAGACUGCGGUCGUUGCGGGUAUGGGGUUGUGGGAAUUUCAGAGGAUGGUCCGCAGGCUGUCCGUGGAGUUACAAACCGUCUGUAUAGUCGAAGUGUAUUGGGAAAGCAUGCCGCAGAGGGUGAGAGCCCCGUAGGCGAAAUGCAGGCGGCUCCAUAUGGAAUCUCCCGAGUAGGCCGGAGCACGUGAAAUUCCGGUUGAAUCCGGGCCGACCAUGGUCCAAGGCUAAAUACUGAUGGCGACCGAUAGCGAAACAGUACCGAGAGGGAAAGGUGAAAAGCACCCCUGGCGGGGAGUGAAAAAGACCUGAACCCGUGUGCCUACAAUCAAUCGGAGCCGGAAGCGUACGCGAGUGCGUGGAAGGUGACGGUAUGCCUUUUGUAAAAUGAGCCGGCGAGUCAUUUUCAGUAGCGAGGUUAAGGUCCGUCUGGACUGGAGCCGCAGGGAAACCGAGUCUGAAUAGGGCGACAAGUUUCUGGAAAUGAACCCGAAGCCGCACGAUCUAUCCAUGAGCAGGUUGAAGCCCCGGUGAAACGGGGUGGAGGACCGAACCGGUGCCUGUUGAAAAAGUCUCGGAUGACUUGUGGAUAGGAGUGAAAAGCUAAUCGAGUGCGGUGAUAGCUGGUUCUCCCCGAUAUGCAUUUAGGUGCAGCCUUAUGGAUGACAGAUGGGGGUAGAGCACUGGAUGGACGCGGGGGACUGGGGUCCUACCAAAUUCAACCAAACUUCGAAUACCAUCAUGUUGGACCAUAGGAGUGAGACUACGGGAGAGAAGUUUCGUGGUCGUGAGGGAAACAGCCCAGACCGUCAGCUAAGGCCCCAAAGGCUAUGCUAAGUGUGGCAAGGAUGUGGAAAUGCCCAAACAGCCAGGAGGUUGGCUUAGAAGCAGCCAUCCUUUAAAGAGUGCGUAACAGCUCACUGGUCGAGGAUUUCUGCGCCGAAAAUACAGGGGGCUAAGCAUAGCGCCGAAGCUGCGGGAUUUGUACUUAUGGUAUGAAUCGGUAGGGGAGCGUUCCAUGUGGGGAGAAGUCGAACUGUAAGGUUCGGUGGACUGCAUGGAAGUGAGAAUGCCGGCAUGAGUAGCGCAAAGUAUGUGAGAAACAUACUCACCGGAAGCCCAAGGGUUCCUGGGGAAGGCUAAUCCACCCAGGGUAAGGCGGGACCUAAGGCGAGGCCGAAGGGCGUAGUCGAUGGACAGCAGGUUGAUAUUCCUGCCCCGCGGAGGGACCGUUUGACUGAAGCAGUGACGCAGGAAGCUAGGUGGACCCGGGUGAUGGAAGUCCCGGGUCAAGGGAGUAGGCGUGUUGGGCAGGGAAAUCCGCCUGACUGAGCCGAGACCUGACGGGGAGACUCUGUAAUGGAGUUGAAGCCAUUGACGCUCGACUGCCGAGAAAAGCUGCUAGGGAGGUCUUUUUGUGCCCGUACCCGAGACCGACACAGGUGGGCUGGCUGAACAGGCUAAGGUGAGCGGGAUAACUCUCGUUAAGGAACUCUGCAAGUUGACCCCGUAACUUCGGGAGAAGGGGUGCCUCUCUGGUGAAAACAAUGCUGUUGGAGCUGAGAGAGGUCGCAGAAACCAGGCUCAGGCGACUGUUUACUAAAAACACAGGUCUCUGCAUAAGGCGCAAGCCGAAGUAUAGGGACUGACACCUGCCCGGUGCUGGAAGGUUAAAUGGAGAGGUUAGUCGCAAGGCGAAGCUUUGAAAUGAAGCCCCAGUAAACGGCGGCCGUAACUAUAACGGUCCUAAGGUAGCGAAAUUCCUUGUCGGGUAAGUUCCGACCUGCACGAAUGGUGUAACGAUCUGAGCGCUGUCUCGACGGGAGACCCGGUGAAAUUGUGGUCCUGGUAAAGACACCAGGUACCUGUGGUGGGACGGAAAGACCCCAUGGAGCUUUACUGUAGCCUGGUACUGGAUUUUGUCCUAUCAUGCACAGGAUAGGUGGGAGGCAUUGAAGCAAGUGCUUUGGCAUUUGUGGAGCCGACGUUGGGAUACCACCCUUGAUAUGAUGGAAUUCUAACCCCUUGCGUCUGAAUCGACGGGGGGGACACUGCCAGGUGGGCAGUUUGACUGGGGCGGUCGCCUCCCAAAGAGUAACGGAGGCGCGCGAAGGUCACCUCGGGGCGAAUGGAAAUCGCCCUAUAAGAGCGCAAGCGUAUAAGGUGGCCUGACUGAGAGACCGACGGGUCGAUCAGGGACGAAAGUCGGUGCUAGUGAUCCGGCGGUUCCGAAUGGAAGGGCCGUCGCUCAACGGAUAAAAGCUACCCUGGGGAUAACAGGCUGAUCUUGCCCGAGAGUUCCUAUCGACGGCAAGGUUUGGCACCUCGAUGUCGGCUCGUCGCAUCCUGGGGCUGAAGCAGGUCCCAAGGGUUGGUCUGUUCGCCCAUUAAAGCGGUACGUGAGCUGGGUUUAGAACGUCGUGAGACAGUUCGGUCCCUAUCCACCACGGGCGUAGGGUAUUUGAGGAGAUCUGCUUCUAGUACGAGAGGACCGAAGUGGACGAACCGCUGGUGUACCGGUUGUGACGCCAGUUGCAUAAGCCGGGUAGCUAUGUUCGGCACGGAUAACCGCUGAAGGCAUCUAAGCGGGAAGCCGCCUUCAAGAUGAGAUACCCCAUUCCUUUAAGGAAGUAAGGCGUCCUGGAGAAUACAGGAUACAUAGGCCGGAGGUGUAAGCCCUGAGAGGGGUUGAGCUGACCGGUACUAAUACGCCGAGGCCUUUUCCU
rnacentral:rRNA from 1 species